rnacentral:rRNA from 1 species
GGUGCCCGUACCGCAAACCGACACAGGUAGGUAGGAAGAAGAUUCUAAGGCCAACGGGAGAAGGGUUGUUAAGGAACUCGGCAAAUUGACCCCGUAACUUCGGGAGAAGGGGUGCUCCAGAGAUGGAGCCGCAGAGAAUCGGCCCAAGCAACUGUUUACCAAAAACACAGGUUUGUGCUAAAUCGAAAGAUGACGUAUACGAGCUGACGCCUGCCCGGUGCUGGAAGGUUAAAAGGAGAUGUGCAAGCAUUGAAUUGAAGCCCCAGUGAACGGCGGCCGUAACUAUAACGGUCCUAAGGUAGCGAAAUUCCUUGUCAGGUAAGUUCUGACCCGCAUGAAAGGCGUAAUGAUUUGGGCACUGUCUCAACAGCCCGCCCGGCGAAAUUGUAGUACCGGUGAAGAUGCCGGUUACCCGCGACAAGACGGAAAGACCCCAUGGAGCUUUACUGUAGCCUAAUAUUGGGUUUCGAUGUUGCAUGCACAGGAUAGAUGGGACACUGGGAAGCAGGUGCUUUGGCGCUUGUGGAGUGGCCGUUGGGAUACCAUCCUUGCGAUAUUGGAAUUCUAACCUGCGCCUUUGAAUCAAGGCGGGGGACAUUGUUAGGUGGGCAGUUUGACUGGGGCGGUCGCCUCCUAAAGAGUAACGGAGGCGUUCAAAGGUUCGCUCAGCUUGAACGGAAAUCAAGCAAAAGAGUGCAAACGCAGAAGCGAGCCUAACUGCGAGACUGACGGGUCGAGCAGUAACGAAAGUUGGAGUUAGUGAUCCGGUGGUAUGUGAGUGGAAAUGCCAUCGCUCAACGGAUAAAAGCUACCCUGGGGAUAACAGGCUGAUCUCCCCCAAGAGUCCACAUCGACGGGGAGGUUUGGCACCUCGAUGUCGGCUCAUCGCAUCCUGGGGCUGUAUUCGGUCCCAAGGGUUUGGCUGUUCGCCAAUUAAAGCGGUACGCGAGCUGGGUUCAGAACGUCGUGAGACAGUUCGGUCCCUAUCUGUCGUGGGCGCAGGAUAUUUGAUGGGAGCUGUCCCUAGUACGAGAGGACCGGGACGGACGUACCUCUGGCGCACCAGUUGUUCCGCCAGGAGCAUAGCUGGGCAACUACGUACGGAUCGGAUAAACGCUGAAAGCAUCUAAGCGUGAAGCCGACCCAAAGAUAAGAUAUCCCAUUGUUUCAAACAAGUAAGACCCCUUGAAGACUACAAGGUUGAUAGGCACGAUGUGUAAGUGGAGCGAUCCAUUCAGCAAGCGUGUACUAAUAGGUCGAGGGCUUGACCAC